rnacentral:rRNA from 1 species
CUCAUGAUGAACGCUAGCUACAGGCUUAACACAUGCAAGUCGAGGGGCAGCAUGGUCUUAGCUUGCUAAGGCCGAUGGCGACCGGCGCACGGGUGAGUAACACGUAUCCAACCUGCCGUCUACUCUUGGACAGCCUUCUGAAAGGAAGAUUAAUACAAGAUGGCAUCAUGAGUCCGCAUGUUCACAUGAUUAAAGGUAUUCCGGUAGACGAUGGGGAUGCGUUCCAUUAGAUAGUAGGCGGGGUAACGGCCCACCUAGUCUUCGAUGGAUAGGGGUUCUGAGAGGAAGGUCCCCCACAUUGGAACUGAGACACGGUCCAAACUCCUACGGGAGGCAGCAGUGAGGAAUAUUGGUCAAUGGGCGAGAGCCUGAACCAGCCAAGUAGCGUGAAGGAUGACUGCCCUAUGGGUUGUAAACUUCUUUUAUAAAGGAAUAAAGUCGGGUAUGGAUACCCGUUUGCAUGUACUUUAUGAAUAAGGAUCGGCUAACUCCGUGCCAGCAGCCGCGGUAAUACGGAGGAUCCGAGCGUUAUCCGGAUUUAUUGGGUUUAAAGGGAGCGUAGAUGGAUGUUUAAGUCAGUUGUGAAAGUUUGCGGCUCAACCGUAAAAUUGCAGUUGAUACUGGAUAUCUUGAGUGCAGUUGAGGCAGGCGGAAUUCGUGGUGUAGCGGUGAAAUGCUUAGAUAUCACGAAGAACUCCGAUUGCGAAGGCAGCCUGCUAAGCUGCAACUGACAUUGAGGCUCGAAAGUGUGGGUAUCAAACAGGAUUAGAUACCCUGGUAGUCCACACGGUAAACGAUGAAUACUCGCUGUUUGCGAUAUACUGCAAGCGGCCAAGCGAAAGCGUUAAGUAUUCCACCUGGGGAGUACGCCGGCAACGGUGAAACUCAAAGGAAUUGACGGGGGCCCGCACAAGCGGAGGAACAUGUGGUUUAAUUCGAUGAUACGCGAGGAACCUUACCCGGGCUUAAAUUGCAGAUGAAUUACGGUGAAAGCCGUAAGCCGCAAGGCAUCUGUGAAGGUGCUGCAUGGUUGUCGUCAGCUCGUGCCGUGAGGUGUCGGCUUAAGUGCCAUAACGAGCGCAACCCUUGUUGUCAGUUACUAACAGGUUCCGCUGAGGACUCUGACAAGACUGCCAUCGUAAGAUGUGAGGAAGGUGGGGAUGACGUCAAAUCAGCACGGCCCUUACGUCCGGGGCUACACACGUGUUACAAUGGGGGGUACAGAGGGCCGCUACCACGCGAGUGGAUGCCAAUCCCCAAAACCUCUCUCAGUUCGGACUGGAGUCUGCAACCCGACUCCACGAAGCUGGAUUCGCUAGUAAUCGCGCAUCAGCCACGGCGCGGUGAAUACGUUCCCGGGCCUUGUACACACCGCCCGUCAAGCCAUGGGAGCCGGGGGUACCUGAAGUGCGUAACCGCGAGGAGCGCCCUAGGGU